CUUAACCUUGAGUUUUUUGUUUCCCUUUUUGCAGUGGAAGCUCCUACUCAUUUCUUUCUGGCCUGCAUUCCAUGCGUGGGUGGCGAUGAGUGGGAUGGCCUUGAAAAGGAGAAAGGAGGUGUCUGACCCAAAUAUUACCCCAAAUUGACCUUAGGCACAACUGGACUUUCAAUCACACAUAUUUUCCCAGAGAGGUGCAUGACAAAAUGAGGAGACUAAAAUUUAUAGAGAUUGAAAGACUGAAUGCACUAUAUCAUAGUUAUAACAGCAUGGAUCUACAUAACACAGGAGCAAAGACAAAUUCGCAUUCCUUUUUUGAAGCAACUUUAAUGACAACAUUUGUGAAUAAUUGUAAAAUUCCAAGUGCAGUCCUUGGUACAUGUUAGGUGCUCAAUACAUUUUAGUUCUCUAAUCCUUUAUCAAAUAAA
rnacentral:lncRNA from 1 species